rnacentral:lncRNA from 1 species
AUAGUAUCGUCGAAACUCCUUUCAAUGGGUUGGAACAAUUCUAACUCACCCCAAUAAGGAUCAUUGAUCCGAAAAUAAUCCUAGUGAGUUCUCACCAUCCACUAGUGACGUCUAGCAGUAUAUAGUGACAACUCAGCAGAACAGAAGAAUAAACCUCUAGGUGUAGUUAUCGUGUAAUACAGUUCCUUUAUCUUGUGUCCCG